AUUGAACGCUGGCGGCAGGCCUAACACAUGCAAGUCGAGCGGUAGCACAGAGAGCUUGCUCUCGGGUGACGAGCGGCGGACGGGUGAGUAAUGUCUGGGAAACUGCCUGAUGGAGGGGGAUAACUACUGGAAACGGUAGGUAAUACCGCAUAACGUCGCAAGACCAAAGAGGGGGACCUUCGGGCCUCUUGCCAUCAGAUGUGCCCAGAUGGGAUUAGCGAGUAGGUGGGGUAACGGCUCACCUAGGCGACGAUCCCUAGCUGGUCUGAGAGGAUGACCAGCCACACUGGAACUGAGACACGGUCCAGACUCCUACGGGAGGCAGCAGUGGGGAAUAUUGCACAAUGGGCGCAAGCCUGAUGCAGCCAUGCCGCGUGUAUGAAGAAGGCCUUCGGGUUGUAAAGUACUUUCAGCGGGGAGGAAGGCGAUAAGGUUAAUAACCUUGUCGAUUGACGUUACCCGCAGAAGAAGCACCGGCUAACUCCGUGCCAGCAGCCGCAGUAA
rnacentral:rRNA from 1 species